rnacentral:rRNA from 1 species
GAUUAACGCUAGCGGCAGGCAUAAUACAUGCAAGUUGAACGGCAGCACAGGUAGCAAUACUGGGUGGCGAGUGGCGCACGGGUGCGUAACACGUAUGCAACCUACCCUAUACAGGCGAAUAACCUUUAGAAAUGAGGGCUAAUACGCCGUAGUAUUACAGAUGGGCAUCUAUUUGUAAUUAAAGAUUUAUCGGUAUAGGAUGGGCAUGCGUCCCAUUAGUUAGUUGGUAAGGUAACGGCUUACCAAGACGAUGAUGCGUAACGGAUCUGAGAGGACCAACGUGCACACUGGAACUGAGACACGGUCCAGACUCCUACGGGAGGGAGCAGUGGGGAAUAUUGGACAAUGGGCGGAAGGCUGAUCCAUCCAUGCCGCGUGUGUGAAGAAAGUAUUCGGAUUGUAAAGCUCUUUAAGUUGGGAGGAAGGGCAGUAAGUUAAUACCUUGCUGUUUUGACGUUACCAACAGAAUAAGCACCGGCUAACUUCGUG